AGCCACACUACUUAUAGAAAUUUCAUUCCGAUCUGUCUCGUUGGUAAAUUAACAUAACCAUAGCCAGAUCUCAUCUGAAAAGAGAAGUGAAUAUUCUCCUUCUCUCUUCUUCUCUCCAUACAUACACUUUUAUCGGUGAACUCGAUUUCAUUAUUGUAAUCAGAUCUGAGAGAGAGACAGUGUUUGCGAUUGAGGGAAGAUGCUGACCAAGUUCGAGACCAAAAGUAAUAGAGUGAAGGGACUCAGUUUCCACAGCAAGAGACCCUGGAUCCUCGCGAGUCUUCACAGUGGCGUGAUCCAACUAUGGGAUUACCGAAUGGGGACUCUCAUUGACAGAUUCGAUGAGCAUGAUGGUCCUGUCAGAGGUGUCCAUUUCCACAAUUCUCAGCCCCUCUUUGUCUCUGGAGGGGAUGAUUACAAGAUUAAGGUUUGGAACUAUAAGAUGCAUAGGUGUUUGUUCACUCUUCUAGGACACCUUGAUUAUAUCCGUACUGUGCAAUUUCAUCAUGAGAACCCGUGGAUUGUGAGUGCCAGUGAUGAUCAGACCAUUCGCAUUUGGAACUGGCAGUCACGUACCUGUAUAUCUGUUUUAACUGGGCAUAAUCAUUAUGUUAUGUGUGCUUCAUUCCAUCCAAAAGAGGAUAUUGUUGUGUCAGCCUCCCUGGAUCAAACUGUUCGUGUUUGGGAUAUUGGUUCUCUCAAAAGGAAGGCCGGGCCUCCUGCAGAUGACGUCCUACGAUUGAGUCAGAUGAACACAGAUCUUUUUGGAGGUGUUGAUGCAGUUGUUAAGUAUGUAUUGGAAGGUCAUGACCGGGGUGUCAACUGGGCUGCUUUUCAUCCUACACUGCCUUUGAUUGUCUCAGGAGCUGAUGACCGACAAGUGAAACUUUGGAGGAUGAAUGACACCAAGGCAUGGGAAGUGGAUACUCUGAGAGGACACAUGAAUAAUGUUUCAUGUGUUAUGUUCCAUGCCAAACAGGACAUCAUUGUGUCAAAUUCUGAGGAUAAAAGUAUCCGAGUAUGGGAUGCCACAAAGCGGACUGGAAUUCAAACUUUCCGCAGAGAGCAUGAUCGGUUUUGGAUUCUAUCUACACAUCCUGAAAUGAAUUUGUUGGCAGCUGGUCAUGACAGUGGCAUGAUAGUCUUUAAGCUGGAGAGAGAAAGGCCUGCUUUUGCAGUUAGUGGCGAUUCUUUAUUCUACACAAAAGACCGAUUCUUGCGUUUCUAUGAAUUUUCAACUCAGAGAGAGACACAAGUACUUACAAUUCGACGACCUGGUUCUUCAUGUCUGAAUCAAAGUCCAAAGUCUCUUUCCUAUAGCCCUACUGAAAAUGCAAUUCUACUCUGUUCAGACGUGGAUGGAGGAUCUUAUGAGUUGUAUUGCAUAUCCAAAGAUGGCACAAAGGACAGUUUUGGUAGGGGUGAUACACAAGAUCCAAAGAAAGGUCUUGGAGGAUCUGCAGUCUUUGUGGCUCGGAAUAGGUUUGCUGUGCUUGACAAAGGCAACAACCAAGUCUGUGUAAAAAAUCUGAAGAAUGAGCUUGUCAAAAAGAGUGCCCUCCCUAUUUCUGCAGAUGCUAUAUUCUAUGCUGGAACAGGCAACUUGCUAUGCAGGUCAGAGGAUAGGGUUUUUAUAUUUGAUCUACAGCAGAGGAUUGUUCUCGGUGAUCUUCAGACCCCUUUUAUAAAGUAUGUAGUAUGGUCUAAUGACAUGGAAAGUGUUGCUCUGCUCAGUAAACAUGCGAUUGUCAUUGCUAGCAAGAAGCUUGUGCACCAAUGCACACUCCACGAGACUAUCCGAGUAAAAAGUGGAGCCUGGGAUGACAAUGGCAUUUUUAUUUACACAACAUUAAAUCAUAUAAAAUAUUGCCUCCCCAAUGGAGAUAGUGGGAUAAUUAAAACAUUGGAUGUCCCAAUUUAUAUUACAAAGGUUGUUGGAAACACCAUCUUCUGCUUGGGUCGGGAUGGGAAAAACAAAGCUAUAACUGUUGAUGCAACAGAAUAUAUCUUUAAGCUUUCCUUGUUGAAGAAAAAAUAUGAUCAUGUAAUGAACAUGAUAAAGAAUUCGCAGCUUUGUGGGCAGGCUAUGAUUGCUUAUCUACAACAGAAAGGGUUUCCUGAAGUUGCGCUCCAUUUUGUGAAAGAUGAGAGAAUCCGAUUCAAUUUGGCUUUGGAGAGUGGCAACAUUCAAAUUGCAGUUGCAUCAGCAACAGCAAUCGAUGAAAAAGAUCACUGGUAUCGAUUAGGGGUUGAAGCUCUUCGUCAAGGUAACUCUGGUAUAGUAGAGUAUGCGUACCAGAGGACUAAAAAUUUUGAGAGGUUGUCAUUCCUUUAUCUCAUUACUGGUAACGUGGAGAAACUUUCAAAAAUGUUGAAAAUUGCCGAAGUGAAGAAUGAUGUGAUGGGCCAGUUUCACAAUGCGCUAUAUAUGGGUGACAUCAGAGAGCGUGUUAAGAUCUUGGAGAAUGCGGGGCAUUUGCCUCUUGCUUACAUCACUGCUUCAGUCCAUGGGCUGCAUGAUGUUGCUGAAAGGCUUGCAGCUGAACUGGGGGAUAAUGUUCCAUCUGUGCCUGAGGGAAAAGUACAAUCUCUCUUGAUGCCACCAUCACCUGUAGUGUGUGGUGGUGAUUGGCCCCUUCUUAGGGUCAUGCGAGGAAUAUUUGAAGGUGGUUUUAACAAUACAGAUCGUGAUGCUGAUGAUGAAGAGUAUGAGGCUGCUGAUGGUGACUGGGUUGAGGAGCUUGACAUGGUUGAUGUAGAUGGGUUACAAAAUGGAGAUGUUGCUGCAAUUUUGGAUGGUGUAGAAGUGGCGGAAGAUGAUGACGAAGAAGGUGGAUGGGAGCUGGAAGAUUUAGAGCUUCCCCCUGAAGCUGACACGCCAAAAGUUUCUGUCAGUUCGCGAUCUUCAGUUUUUGUGGCCCCAGCACCUGGGAUGGCAGUUGGCCAGAUAUGGAUUCAGAGAUCAUCUCUUGCAGCUGAUCAUGUAGCUGCUGGCAAUUUUGAUACUGCAAUGAGAUUACUGAACAGGCAACUCGGGAUAAGGAACUUUGCCCCCUUGAAAUCUAUGUUUCUAGAUCUACAUACUGGCAGUCAUUCCUAUCUGCGUGCCUUUUCAUCCGCUCCAGUUGUAUCAAUUGCUGUUGAAAGAGGUUGGACUGAGUCAUCUAGUCCAAAUGUGAGAGGCCCACCAGCACUUCCUUUCAGAUUGUCUCAAUUAGAUGAAAAACUCAAAGUUGGAUACAAGUCAACAACUGCUGGGAAAUUUACUGAUGCUCUUCGCACUUUUGUCAAUAUUCUUCAUACAAUUCCUUUGAUUGUUGUUGAGUCAAGGAGAGAGGUUGAUGAACUGAAAGAAUUGAUUAUCAUAGUGAAAGAGUAUGUCUUGGGUCUGCAGAUGGAGCUGAAAAGAAGGGAAAUUAAGGACAAUCCAGCACGCCAGCAAGAGCUUGCAGCUUAUUUCACCCACAGCAAUCUUCAAACACCUCACUUGAGGCUAGCUUUGCUGAAUGCCAUGACUGUCUGCUACAAGGCAAAGAACCUUGCCACAGCCGCUAACUUUGCCAGGAGGCUACUUGAGACCAAUCCUACUGUUGAAAACCAAGCUAAGACAGCAAGGCAAGUGCUGGCAGCUGCAGAAAAGAAUAUGACUGAUGCCUUACAAUUGAACUAUGAUUUCCGAAACCCAUUUGUAAUUUGUGGAGCAACCUAUGUGCCCAUUUAUCGUGGACAGAAGGAUAUCUCUUGCCCCUAUUGUACUUCCCGUUUUGUGCCAAGCCAGGAGGGGCAGCUAUGUGCUGUGUGUGAGCUUUCAGUGGUAGGGGCGGAUGCUUCUGGAUUGCUCUGCUCUCCUGCCCAAAUUCGUUGAUUUCACUGGAUCAGGAGCGGAUAAUGAAUUUUUGUUUCAGGUCAACUUUUUGCAGUAGAAACCAGCCGUCCAACCAAACCCUAUUUUGCUCAUUUAACACACAAGAGAUGGUUACUUGAUCUUCAAUUUUGUUUGCAUAUUCUCACAUAAGAGUAUCAUCACCAUAAUAGAAGAAAUAGUUGGCUGAGAUGAUUUAGGUUACUCAAGCCUGAUGAAAGUGGUCUAAGGAUUUAGCUUAUAACACGCGCACACAGCAGGGCUGCCCCAAACGUGAGAGUAUUAUAGGAUAAUUUAUUUAUUUUUUGUGGAAGAGGAUAAUGUAAUUUUUUAUUAUCUAGAUUAGUUAAAAUAUAAAUUUUAAGAUGUUUUAACAUUUUUAUGGCUCUUUUAUUUGUUUUUUAUACUGUUAAGAACAUUUAAUAAUGCACAACUAAUUGUUUUUAUGAUGGACAAAACUUCUUCC